UAGAUAAAUACAAUAAUAAUUGACUUUUAAGAUAAAUCUAUUUUGAAUUAAAAAAAAUAAUAGGAUAGAUAAAUAUUUUUAUAUGAUUAAUUAAAUAUGAAUUUGAGCUUCUUUAGUUUUUCUUUUAUUAUUUAUUACCCUUCAUAAUAUUUUAAAUAUUUUUUUAUUUUUUUAAUAUUUUUAUUUGUUUGUUAAGUUUGUAAACUGUAAAUUUUUACUAAAAUAUUUCUACCUGUCGCAUCGCGCAGGUUCCUACGCUAGUAUUACAUUACAUUACAAUAUCUUCUAUUACAUUACAUUACAAUAUUAC
rnacentral:lncRNA from 1 species